AUCCUGGCCUGGCAGGAGACAGGUCAUGUUCACAAAAGUGAGCUCUCUAGGGCAAGCCUAUUCCAUUGCCUCCCACAUGUGUUGACCCCUGAUGUUUCCCCAAACGUGGGGAACUAGAUGGUACAUUUGAGCUGGUGGGGACUGCACCCUC
rnacentral:snRNA from 1 species